GUGAGCUGGCUGUGCCAAGGCGGUGCAUGUCCGAGUUGUCGUCUAUUCACUCGUUUAUCCGCCGAUGAUGCUCAUCAUCAUCAUGAGGGAAUUAGUCAAGCAUAUUUCCACGUGUAGCAGAAUGCUUAAUACUUUGUGUUCACAUGACUACAGACAGAAAGGUUGAUAUACAACGAAUCUCACAGUUAAACACUUACAUGCGGCCCUUCUUUAGUAAAAAGAUUAUGGAUGGGAAAUUUACUGCUGGGGAAUAGAUUUUCGCCAGUCAUGAUGUAUGCAAUAAGGAUGAUCAAAGGUUAAUGUUUAUUCAUCACCGUGAGUAUGGUGAUAACUCACUACAGUUAAGUAAGCAUUAUAUUUAGCACCAGUUAAAUAGGGUGGACACAAUGGGAAAUCUGUCAGCCUGUCGGGUAGCCUACCUUCCAGACACCUGUAGUCCACCUAUCAUUUAAAAUCAUUGUGUCCAGUAACAUGAUGCACCUAGAAGGUUUUCUCUGUUUGUUGUGACACCAACCUAGACCUCGGUAUCUUCAUCGGUAGCUCCAUGUUUCUAAGUACUUCAUGUUUCGUCGACGGCUCAUGUAAACAAGAAUUCGCUAUUUUUUUGAACACACAGGCGAAGAAUAUUUUUGGAUUACAAGUGUUUAUAUAUGACGUCAAAGUGGUCGUUGGCUAAGACCCUAGUCCAUGCUGGACACACGUGACAUGAAAGGAACCUUUUAGUCUCAACGGGACGAAGAUCAUUACAAGAGAAAAACUGAGUCAAAACGGGACCAAAAGGAUGCCAAGAGGAAAACCUACUCAAAACGGAACCAGAAGGAUGACAGGAGGAGAACCAAGUCAACACGGGACCAGAAGUAUGACAGGAGGAGAACCAA